ensembl:lncRNA
AGUGUUGCUUCCUCUGCAGUUUUUUUUUUGAAAUUUCAUAAGAAGUGUUAACUAUUCUUUGAAUGUUUGAUAGGAUUCAACCGUGAAGACACCAGGUCCUGGACUUUUGUUCUUUUGGAAGUUUUUAAAUCAUAUUUUCAAUUUCAGUGCUUGUGAUUGGUCUAUUCAUAUUUUCUAUUUCUUCCUGGUUCUGUCUUUGUAAGUUGUACCUUUGUAAGAAUCUGUACAUGUCUUCUAGGUUGUCCAUCUUAUUGGCAUACUGUUACUCAUAGUAGUAUCUUAUGAUCCUUUCUAUUUCUGUGGUUUCAGUUGUAAUUUCUUUUCCAUUUCUAAUUUUAUUGUUUUGAAUCCUCUCCCUUUUUCCUUGAUGACUCUAGCUAAAGUUUCAUCAAUUUUGUUGAUCUUUUCAAAGAACCAACUUUUGGUUUCAUUGAUCUUCUCUAUUGUUUUCUUUGUCUCUAUGUUAUUAGCUUCUGCUCUAAUUUUUUAUUAUUUCUUCCCUUCUACUAAUUUUGGGCUUUGUCUGUUCUUCCUUCCCUAGAUGUUUAAGGUGUAAGGUUAUGCUGUUUAUUUGAGUUUGUUCUUCUUUCCUGAGAUAAUGUUGUAUGCUACAAACUUCCCUCUCGCACUGCUUUUGCUGUGUCCCAUAGGUUUUGGAUUGUUGUAUCUUCAUUGUCAUUUGUUUCUAAGUAUCUUUUAAUUUCCUCUUUUGUUUCUUCAAUGAUCCACUGGUUAUUUAGUAGAACGUUGUUUAGCUUCUAAGUGUUUGUGUUUUUUUAUGUUGUUUUUUUUUUCUUAUAGUUCAUUUCUAGUCUCAUAGCACUGUGGUCAGAGAAAAUGCUUGAAAUAAUUUUAAUUUUUUAAAACUUACCAAGGCUUGAUCUGUGGCCAAAGAUGUGAUCUAUACUGGAGAAUGUUCCAUGUGCACUUGAGAAGAAAGUAUAUAUUAUGCUGCUUUGGGGUGAAAAGUCCUAUAGAUAUCAAUUAAGUCUAUUUUAUCUUGUGUAUCACUUAAGGCCUGUGUUUCCUUGUUGAUUUUCUCUUUGGAUGAUCUGUCCAUUGCUGUAAGUGGUGUGUUAAAGUCCUCCACUAUUGUUGUGUUACUGUCGGUUUCUCUUUUAUGGCUGUUAGUAGUUGCAUUACAUAUUUUGGUGCUCCUAUGUUGGGUGUAUAUAUAUUUUUAAUUGUUAUGUCUUUGGAUUGAUCCUUUGAUCAUUAUGUAAUGUCCUUUUUUGUCUCUUGUGACCUUAUUUUAAAAUCUAUUUUGUCUGAUAUGAGUAUUGCUACUCCUGCUUUUCUAUGAUUCCCAUUUGCAUUAAUAUUCUUUCUAUACCCUCACUUUUUCUGUAUGUGUUCCUAGAUCUGAAGUGAGUCCCUUAUAAACAGCAUGCAUAUAAUUCUUUAUUUUAUCCUUUCAGCCAGUCUGUGACUUUUAGGUGGAGCAUUUAAUCCAUUUACAUUCACUGUAUUAUGGGGAAGUAUGUACUUAAUAUAAUUUUGGGGUUUUUUUUUGGGGGGGGUGUAACUUUGGGUCUUUUUUCUUCCCUUCCUCUUUUGUUGUCUUCUCUUGUGAUAUGCUGGCCAUCUUUAGUGUUGUGUUUAGCUUGCUUUUUCUUUGCUUAAUGCGUGUGUCCAUUAUAGUUAUUUGAUUGGUAGUUCCCAUUAUAUUUUGAUAUAACUAUCUUUAUGAGUUCAGGAUUUUUUUCUGGUUGCUAGUCUCUUUAUUUCAAAUGCAUUUUCAGUGUUCUGACUUUGUCCUCUCCUCUUCUAAUGCUUGCUAGUUUUGAUACUAUAUUUAUCAGUGUGUUAUUUCCUAUUUUUACGUUAUCUUUGUCUUUACCAGUGAGGUUUUCUUUUGUAAUAUUCCUGUUUCUAAUUGUGGCUUUUCCUUUUCUGCUUAGAAAAUUUCCUUUAGUGAUGUAGGUUUGAAGGUGCUGAGUUCUCUGAGCUUUUGCUUGUCUGAAAAGUGUUUGAUCUCUUCAUCAAAUCAGAAUGAGAGCUUUGCUGGGUAGAGUCUUCUUGGCUCUAGGUUCCUCCUCCUCAAAUAUAUCUUGCCAUUCCCUUCUGGCUUGUAGAGUUUCUGCUGAAAAAGAAGCUCUUAUCUUCAUAGGGGUUCGCUUGUAUGUGAUUUGUUGCUUUUCCUUUGUGGUUUUUAAUUUUUUUAUUUGUAAUUUUUUUUUUCAGUUUGAUUAGUAUGUCUCUCACUGUUUCUCCUUGGAUUUAGCUUGUAUGGGAUUCUCUGUGCUUCCUCAAUUUGAAUGAGUGUCUCCUUUCCCAUAUUAGGGAAAGUUUCAGCUAUAAUCUCUUCAAGUAUUUUUUCUGGCCUUUUCUCUCUUUCUUUUCCUUCUAGAACCACAAUGAUGUGAAUAUUGGUACAUUUAAUGUUGUCCUAGAAGUCUCUUAGACUCUCCUCAGUUCUUUUCAUUCUUUAUUCUUUUCUGUGGCAAUAAUUUCCACAACUCAGUUAUUUGUUCUUAUGCCUCCAUUAUUCUGCCAUCAAGUCCUUCUAGUGUAUUUUCCAUUUCGGAUAUCGUGCUAUUUAUCUUGCUCUUUAAAUCCUAUGGCUCUUUGUUAAACAAUUCUCCUAAGUUCUUGAUCUGUAUCUCCAUUCUUUUUCUGGGAUCUUGAAUCAUCUUUACUAUCAUUACUCUGAAUUCUUUUUCAGGUAGAUUGACUAUCUUCUCAUUGUUUAUUUUUUGUGUGUGUGUGUGUGUUUUGCCUUGUUCCUUCAUCUGAAAGCUACUUCUUUUUCGUAUCAUAAUAUCUACCUUUCUGUUUAUCAUCCCCUUGACAGCAGCAGGUAUGUAGAUGCAGCAGCGGGUGCCCAGUUCUGAAAUUCUCAGGGGUGGUAGCUGUUCACGUGCAAUGUACUCAGAGCAUGUGAUAGGAGCAACAGUAUCAUACUACCUCUCCUGGAGAUGCGUGGCUGCUAGGGAUGAGGUCAGUGAGGAAGGUGACAGUGAUUCACAGUUCACAUGAUUGCUUUUGUAGCAUGUGGGGAACAGUAGUGGCUCCUUCGACCCCUCCUGCUACCAGGUAUAUUUCAGAACUAUUUCCUGCAGCUUGCAAUGUCAGCAGUUGCUCCUGAAGCCCCUUUCUUUGCUGAGAAGGCUCUAGGAACUGCUUUCUCUAGCUAUAGGAGCAGGCACCAUUCUGCAGUCACUCACCUUGUCUGGCCACUCUAGGGAUCUCUCUCUAUAGCCCCAAGGGUGGGGGAUGCUCCCUAACUGUUUUGAAAAUGCUUUCUCUAUAGCUAUAGGACAUGCAUUUCUGGCAGUCCCUCCCCCCACCCGGCUGCUGACAGAAGUAUUCUCUGUAGCCCCUGCAGAUCAGAAUGUGGACCAAUGGGCUACCUAUGGCUUCCUUAGUGCUAACUGAGUGCCACUUGCAGGAACCCUGUAGUUUGAGCUUUUCUCCAGCCAGGCAUCCUGCAGCUCCAGCAAGGACUGUGCACCGGCAGCCCUCUCUUGGCUCUUUGGGUGCACAUCAGGCACCACUAGCACACGCCACUGCAGAGACAGUAGGCAGAGCCACAAAACUUGUGCUUUGCCUGGUCAGGCAGUUUGCAGCUCUCACAGGGUUGAUGCCACUUGCAGGGGAGCAAACAGCAGGAACAAGGAGCUUGUGUUAUUCCCCCAGGUAGUUACUCCACCUGAUCCAAGUUCUCUGAAGUCCUAAGGGGAGGACUGCUUCCCAGCUAUUGCUAGGUAGCAACUGCUAUCCAGUGGCUCCCAGAGCUAAAGUGACAGUGUCCUGUAGCCUGAUAGCAUGCACACAGGGGACAAGGCUGUAGUGGUGGAUCCUACCUCUUUUCUCCGGCACCAAACAAUGAUGCCUAGCUUCUAAGACUGACUAUGUUGCCUCUGCUUAUGCCCUCAAAUGUGGUUGCCCUAUAAUCUAGUCCCUCCAGGCUGUUUCCA